AGUGAACGCUGGCGGUAGGCCUAACACAUGCAAGUCGAACGGCAGCACAGUAAGAGCUUGCUCUUACGGGUGGCGAGUGGCGGACGGGUGAGGAAUACAUCGGAAUCUACUUUUUCGUGGGGGAUAACGUAGGGAAACUUACGCUAAUACCGCAUACGACCUACGGGUGAAAGCAGGGGAUCUUCGGACCUUGCGCGAUUGAAUGAGCCGAUGUCGGAUUAGCUAGUUGGCGGGGUAAAGGCCCACCAAGGGGACGAUCCGUAGCUGGUCUGAGAGGAGGAUCAGCCACACUGGAACUGAGACACGGUCCAGACUCCUGCGGGAGGCAGCAGUGGGGAAUAGUGGACAAUGGGCGCAAGCCUGAUCCAGCCAUACCGCGUGGGUGAAGAAGGCCUUCGGGUUGUAAAGCCCUUUUGUUGGGAAAGAAAAGCAGCAGGUUAAUACCCCGCUGUUCUGACGGUACCCAAAGAAUAAGCACCGGCUAACUUCGUG
rnacentral:rRNA from 1 species